rnacentral:rRNA from 1 species
CAUACCUAUUCGAAGGGAUAGGGUCGGUUCGGCCGGAUUUUACACAAGUGUUGCAUGGCUGUCGUCAGCUCGUGUCGUGAGAUGUUGGGUUAAGUCCCGCAACGAGCGCAACCCUCAUCCUUAGUUGCUAUCAGGUAGUGCUGAGUACUUUAAGGAAACUGCCAGUGAUAAGCUGGAGGAAGGUGGGGAUGAUGUCAAGUCAUCAUGGCCUUUAUGGAGUGGGCUACACACGUGCUACAAUGGUGUCUACAAUGGGCUGCAAGGUGCGCAAGCCUAAGCUAAUCCCUAAAAGACAUCUCAGUUCGGAUUGUACUCUGCAACUCGAGUACAUGAAGUUGGAAUCGCUAGUAAUCGUGGAUCAGCAUGCCACGGUGAAUACGUUCUCGGGUCUUGUACACACUGCCCGUCACGCCAUGGGAAUUGGUUUCACUCGAAGCU